GGCGUUGUGGCAAGUCUCCAAGAAGAGAGGGGCGAUUUUGGGGAGAAGACCAUGGGGGCCGAAGCGAUGGGAGAAUAAGUUGGAGAAAGGGGUGAAGUGAGGGUUGGCAUGGGAGGCGAUCAGGAUUCAGAUAUCAAGGGCGUCCUAGAGUUCCUAGAAGAACUAACUGUGAAGGAGUCGAGGUGGGUCUCGCCGUGGAGAGCUAGGUUGGUGAGGAAAAAAAUGGCGUGACACUCCACCGUUAGCGAACUCAGCUUUUUUAACGCCGUUAGUUUUGGAGGACGGAAAAUUAAGGUUUCGUGAAAGAGGAGGACUAAGAUGUACCUUACUUUGAAAGAUGGACUAAAAACAAAUUUGUUUUAUAGUUUAUGGACUAAAAACAUAUUUAACCUUUAAAAUAAAUACAUAAAAUAUAUUAAAAUUAUAUUUUAAU
rnacentral:lncRNA from 1 species